GCUUGUCUCAAAGAUUAAGCCAUGCAUGUCUAAGUACAAGCCUCAGUAAGGUGAAACCGCGAAUGGCUCAUUAAAUCACACCUAAUCUACUGGAAAGUUACUAGUUACUUGGAUAACCGUGGUAAUUCUAGAGCUAAUACAUGCUGAAAAUCCCGACUUCGGAAGGGAUGUAUUUAUUAGAUUAAAAACCAAUGCCCCUCGGGGCUCUCUGGUGAAUCAUGAUAACUAGUCGAAUCGACAGGCCUUGUGCCGGCGAUGGCUCAUUCAAAUUUCUUCCCUAUCAACUUUCGAUGUUUGGGUAUUGGCCAAACAUGGUGGCAACGGGUAACGGAGGGUUAGGGCUCGACCCCGGAGAAGGAGCCUGAGAAACGGCUACUACAUCCAAGGAAGGCAGCAGG
rnacentral:rRNA from 1 species